UUUAAUCAUUGAAUUUUACUUUUUAAAAACUAUGUAUUAUUAUUUAAACAGACAGAAUUUAAUGGUUACAUUACUAAUGUUUAUGUAACACCCCGUUUUUUUUUUUCUAACGGUAUACGAUAAAGCACUCACACAACACAAUACCGAAAUCUCAUAUUAUUCCAACCAUGCACAAGAGAAACUUGUCCACCUUCAUUGUUCCAAAUCAAUUGUACAUACAUCUCCACCUCUACAACACAUAGUAACACAAUAUCAAACAUUCCUAGAUGUUCAAUAUCCAGACUAAACCAGCCUUUCAAACUACUUUAAAUCACAAACAAAACUUGUGCCCUAUGGCACUACCGACGGGGCUCCGUUACCAGCCGCUCGGAUCCCAAUUCCGUUCUUACUCCACCUGUGAAUGAUGAGAAGUGAGUUCACAUAACUCAAUACGAUAAAAAUCAAGUUGUAAGUGCAAUAUGCAG
rnacentral:lncRNA from 1 species